UUGGCUUUUAUAUUUCAGGAUCUGGCAACUAUAGCGUUGCAACCUAAAAACUCAGAAUUUUAUCGUUUGACAUUUUGAUAUUGUACAUACUCAGAACGUUUUGACAUCCAAGCUAUUUUUGUGUUCUUUACAGUGACUUAAAAAAUUCAUCUCGGCCAAAGAAUAUAAUUGAGUCCCGAACAAUAUCGCGAGAUUAUUUUUCACAACUUCCGGUGUGGUCUAACUCAGCAACAGGUAUAGUGAAUUAAAGCAAGAUCGUAGAUUACUCCAAGAAGAAUUUUGUGUAGGUCGUCUAAAAUCAGUUGCCGUUUCGGAAACUAUUGACGCUGUGCAAAAACUGAUAUUGCAAUAUUGUGAUGUGAUCUAUCGUGAGAUUGAGAAAAAAUGUUUUCAUGUGGGAUCCCACACAAUUUGUUGCGGUAGUGGUGAUUCGAAACACGUCUAGAACAUUGUGUCAGGUGAUAAGUCGUGGAUUUAUGCGCAUGAGAGUAAUAGCCCUGACAGACGACAGCGCUAAUAUGCAUUAGCGGACUUAAUUUACAUUUACUUGUGCAUUUGAACCAUGUUAAUGCACAAGAAUUUCGUGCAUUUAGCUGAAUUUACCAAAUUUGAGUAAGCAACACUGCUCAAAAAUGGCCGAUUUUUGCUAUUUUUUGACAGAUGUCGCUUUUAGUCUGCUGCCUCUUUUGCGUUUACAGCAUCAGAGGUAAUCAGUUUUAUAUUGCUAAUUAAAUUAUGUACAAGUAUAUUAACAAAAACAAAUUUUAAUAUUUUUAAAUGGCAGAAAAUAAACAACGCACAGUUUGCUAUCCAUUUUUCCAAUA